GACGAACGCUGGCGGCGUGCUUAACACAUGCAAGUCGAACGGUAAGGCCCUUCGGGGUACACGAGUGGCGAACGGGUGAGUAACACGUGGGUGAUCUGCCCUGCACUUCGGGAUAAGCCUGGGAAACUGGGUCUAAUGCCGGAUAGGACCAUUGCCUGCAUGGGUGGUGGUGGAAAGCUUUUGCGGUGUGGGAUGGGCCCGCGGCCUAUCAGCUUGUUGGUGGGGUGAUGGCCUACCAAGGCGACGCCGGGGAGCCGGCCUGAGAGGGUGACCGGCCACACGGGGACUGAGAUACGGCCCAGACUGCGCCGGGAGGCAGCAGUGGGGAAUAUUUCACAAUGGGCGCAAGCCUGAUGCAGCGACGCCGCGUGAGGGAUUACGGCCUUAGGGUUGUAAACCUCUUUCAGCACCGACGAAGCGCAAGUGACGGUAGGUGCAGAAGAAGGACCGGCCAACUACGUGCCAGCCGCCGCCGUAA
rnacentral:rRNA from 1 species